UGCGUAGGUGGCCGGGUAAGUCUGACGUGAAAUCUCCGAGCCUAACUCGGAAACUGCGUCGGAUACUAUCCGGCUCGAGGGUUGGAGGGGGGACUGGAAUACUUGGUGUAGCAGUGAAAUGCGUAGAUAUCAAGUGGAACACCAGUGGCGAAGGCGAGUCCCUGGACAACUCCUGACACUGAGGCACGAAAGCUAGGGGAGCAAACA
rnacentral:rRNA from 1 species